CAACCAUAUUUCUAUCAUAGCAUUCAACCAAGUCAGGUAUAUUUAUUCAGUUAAUAGUUAAAAUUAAGACAAGCAUGCGCGGGUCAUUUACUUUUUGAUUAACACUACAUGUAGACUUCUGUGGUGUCAUCGGACUCGGGAUGGCCAACAUCUCAUAAUCACCAGCCGCCAACUAGCACUCAACCAAGUCAGAGUUCCCAAAUGUUAUCAGACUCAGGAUGGCCAACAUCUCAAAAAUGACCAGCUGCCAAUUCAGGUCUUGGGUAGCCAAUCAAGUCACAUACAAGAUAAACACUUUUAAAUAGCUCUAUGUAAACUUUGUAUCUCAGGAUUGCUCUACAAGACAGUUCUCUUGAGAUGUAAUAAUUUAUCUUACCAUUCCUUUUAAUGUUAGAUGCACAACGGUUUAUGCUCAAAUAAAAAUAUAUACAUGAAUAUGGAUUAGUUGUUGGUUAUUCCUUAUGAUAUGUUAGACAUGUAACUGAGCUUUAGUUUUCCAGUUAAAUGUGGUCUUAUAGGCACUAAAUUCAUUAAAAG